UUGUUGCAUCGAGUCUGUGGUUUGACUAUGGCUUCCUGGCUGACCUUCUGGUUUGAUCUCGGACCUGUCUCAGAAGGUUGUUUGGUGAUGCAGACUCUCCACCUGAACCUGGCAGCCAUCUUUGGGUUUGCUCAACUCACCUCACUAGGGUUAUAUGUGCACCAGGUACUACUGCUCUGUCUGGCAGAUGGAGCCCUGGAGUGUGAGUAGCUGAGCUGCAGAAGUUCAGUAUCUCAAAAAUUGGAUCAGAAUUCUGGGAAGGCAGUGAGGAUAUGGAGUAACAGAGCCAUUCCCUUGGCCACCAGUGGAUUCAUGCAAAGUGUAGGAUGUGAGGACAUACCAAGGACAGCUGGGGGGGACUAUGAUAAGACCCAUUAAAACACGGACGGUGCAAAGAUCGUGGAGCGGAAAUAACUAGCAGAAGUUAUGCAGUAUGAUUAUCAACCAGAGGGCUAACAAAGAAAAGCAAAGUAUUUCAUUUUGCACUCAGAAACUACCUAAAUAAAUCCUUACCAGCUGAUAUUCUGCACUACAACUGGUUCAAAGAAGGAAUUAGACAAGUUAAUAGGUCUGUCAAGAGCUAUCGAACGCACUGGCUGACUCACAGAUGUCCAGAUAAGGAUGCUGUAAACCAUUUAUUUCUUAAAACCACAAGGAUGUAACAUGUAGCAACUCCUCUGCAACUGCCUUGCUUCCAAAACCCUUUCCCCUGCUCCCCGUUGCCAGUCACCGUGGAGAUGUGACCCUGAGUGGGAUGGAUUCUUGGUCUCACCCAAUAGAACAGAGAAAACUGCUGCAAUGCAUUCUGGUCUUGAACGCUUAGUCUGCAUCCUUUUCAUUAGGAGAAAAAUAAUGGGUUGAAACUGAGUUUCUCAGUUUACAUUUUAAUACAAUUUCUAUUGCUGCCUUGUUGUUUCUAUCUCGUUCACCAAAGAUCUGAUCCAAAUCCUUCUGAAGCAUUUCUCUAAAAUAAGCACAUACAAUUCCUUUGUAAAGAUCUAUCAUGGAGCUUACAGAAGUAUUAAAUUUCCUUCUUGAGAUCUGAUCUACUUCAUUCAAACCAUCCAUUACAUUCUCCUAAACGGAGCACAGGAGAGCAGAAACUAAAUUCUAAUGUUCUUUGGAAAUGUAAUUUAUCCAUCUGUAAAAUAAAAUUGAGGAUAUUUUCUCUUAUGAAAACAUUACAGCGCUGCU
ensembl:lncRNA